UACGGGGGGGGCGAGCGUUGUUCGGAAUUACUGGGCGUAAAGCGUGCGCAGGCGGUGAUGUAAGACAGUUGUGAAAUCCCCGGGCUCAACCUGGGAACUGCAUCUGUGACUGCAUCGCUGGAGUGCGGCAGAGGGGGAUGGAAUUCCGCGUGUAGCAGUGAAAUGCGUAGAUAUGCGGAGGAACACCGAUGGCGAAGGCAAUCCCCUGGGCCUGCACUGACGCUCAUGCACGAAAGCGUGGGGAGCAAACAGG
rnacentral:rRNA from 1 species